rnacentral:rRNA from 1 species
CGGCGGACGGGUGAGUAACACGUGGGUAACCUACCUAUAAGACUGGGACAACUUCGGGAAACCGAGCUAAUACCGGAUAAGAUAUCGAACCGCAUGGUUCGAUAGUGAAAGAUGGUUUUGCUAUCACUUAUAGAUGGACCCGCGCCGUAUUAGCUAGUUGGUGAGGUAACGGCUCACCAAGGCAACGAUACGUAGCCGACCUGAGAGGGUGAUCGGCCACACUGGAACUGAGACACGGUCCAGACUCCUACGGGAGGCAGCAGGA